UACGUAGGGGGCAAGCGUUGUCCGGAAUCAUUGGGCGUAAAGCGCGUGUAGGCGGCCCGGUAAGUCCGCUGUGAAAGUCGGGGGCUCAACCCUCGAAUGCCGGUGGAUACUGUCGGGCUAGAGUGCGGGAGAGGCGAGUGGAAUUCCUGGUGUAGCGGUGAAAUGCGCAGAUAUCGGGAGGAACACCCGUAGCGAAGGCGGCACUCUGGGCCGGAACUGACGCUGAGGAGCGAAAGCGUGGGGAGCAAACAGG
rnacentral:rRNA from 1 species